rnacentral:rRNA from 1 species
AUAGUCCUACGGGACGCAGCAGUGAGGGAUAUUGGUCAAUGGGGGGAACCCUGAACCAGCAACGCCGCGUGAGGGAAGACGGUUUUCGGAUUGUAAACCUCUGUCCUCUGUGAAGAUAAUGACGGUAGCAGAGGAGGAAGCUCCGGCUAACUACGUGCCAGCAGCCGCGGUAAUACGUAGGGAGCGAGCGUUGUCCGGAUUUACUGGGUGUAAAGGGUGCGUAGGCGGCCCUGCAAGGCAGAAGUGAAAGCCAUGGGCUUAACCCGUGAACUGCUUUUGAAACUGCAGGACUUGAGGGGAGUAGG